AAUACCGCAUACGACCUACGGGUGAAAGCAGGGGACCGCAAGGCCUUGCGUCGAUGGAGCGGCCGAUGCCGGAUUAGCUAGUUGGUGAGGUAAAGGCUCACCAAGGCGACGAUCCGUAGCUGGUCUGAGAGGACGACCCAGCCACACUGGGACUGAGACACGGCCCAGACUCCUACGGGAGGCAGCAGUGGGGAAUCUUGGACAAUGGGCGAAAGCCUGAUCCAGCAAUGCCGCGUGUGGGAAGAAGGCCUUCGGGUUGUAAACCACUUUUGGCGGGAAAGAAAUGGUCUGUGCUAAUACCACGGAUUGAUGACGGUACCCGCAGAAUAAGCACCGGCUAACUACGUG
rnacentral:rRNA from 1 species